UACAGAGGUCUCAAGCGUUGUUCGGAUUCAUUGGGCGUAAAGGGUGCGUAGGCGGCGCGGUAAGUCGGGUGUGAAAUCUCGGAGCUUAACUCCGAAACUGCAUUCGAUACUGCCGUGCUUGAGGACUGGAGAGGAGACUGGAAUUUACGGUGUAGCGGUGAAAUGCGUAGAUAUCGUAAAGAAGACCAGUGGCGAAGGCGGGUCUCUGGACAGUUCCUGACACUGAGGCACGAAGGCCAGGGGAGCAAACGGG
rnacentral:rRNA from 1 species